rnacentral:rRNA from 1 species
UACGUAGGGGGCAAGCGUUGUCCGGAUUUAUUGGGCGUAAAGAGCGUGUAGGCGGCUUUACAGGUCCGUUGUGAAAACUCGAGGCUCAACCUCGAGACGCCGGUGGAAACCGUAAGGCUAGAGUCCGGAAGAGGAGAGUGGAAUUCCUGGUGUAGCGGUGAAAUGCGCAGAUAUCAGGAAGAACACCCGUGGCGAAAGCGGCUCUCUGGAACGGUACUGACGCUGAGACGCGAAAGCGUGGGGAGCGAACAGG